rnacentral:rRNA from 1 species
GAAAGUGAAUAAGGGCGCAUGGCGGAUGCCUUGGCUCACGGAGGCGAUGAAGGACGUGAUAAGCUGCGAUAAGCCGCGGUUAGGCGCAAAUAGCCCUUGACCCGCGGAUUUCCGAAUGGGACAACCCGGCAGUCUAUGGACUGUCAUCAUGGCUAUGCCAUGAGGCGAACGCGGGGAACUGAAACAUCUUAGUACCCGCAGGAGAAGAAAAUAACAAUGAUUCCCCCAGUAGUGGCGAGCGACCGGGGAAGAGCCCAAACCCGUCGCGUGGCAACGCGCGUCGGGGGUUGUAGGACCACGGUUACGGCACGGCGACGGCGAGCGGAACGGACUGGAAAGUCCGGCCAUAGCGGGUGAAAGCCCCUUACGCGCAGCCCGGUCCGGCCGAGUGGUAUCCUGAGUAACGCGGGACACGUGAAAUCCUGCGCGAAUCCGCCGGGACCAUCCGGCAAGGCUAAAUACUCCCGUGAGACCGAUAGUGUACCAGUACCGUGAGGGAAAGGUGAAAAGAACCCCGAGCAGGGGAGUGAAAUAGAUCCUGAAACCAUGCGCCUACAAGCGGUCGGAGCAUACGAUGUAUGUGACGGCGUGCCUUUUGCAUAAUGAACCUACGAGUUGCCGUCACCGGCGAGGUUAACCACUUCAUGUGGGUAUCCGCAGUGAAAGCGAGCCUGAACAGGGCGCAUAGUCGGUGGAGGCAGACGCGAAACCAAGUGAUCUACACUUGGCCAGGAUGAAGUCCCGGUAACACGGGAUGGAGGUCCGCACCGAUAAGCGUUGAAAAGCUUCCGGAUGAGCUGAGUGUAGGAGUGAAAGGCCAAUCAAACUUGGAGAUAGCUCGUACUCCCCGAAAGGCAUUUAGGUGCCGCGUUUGGCGUUGUUCGUGAGAGGUAGAGCGACCGAUAGGAUGCGAGGGCUUCACCGCCUGUCAAGUCCUGACGAACUCCGAAUGCUCACGUAUUGUAGCCAUGCAGUAAGGGGGCGGGUGCUAAGGUCCGUCCCCGAGAGGAGAAGAAUCCAGACCGCCGUCUAAGGUCCCGGAGUUCUGCCUGAGUUAGUCUAACGAAGUCUUGUUCCUGUGACAGCCAGGAUGUUGGCUUGGAAGCAGCCAUUCAUUCAAAGAGUGCGUAACAGCUCACUGGUCGAGGGACAGGGCGUGGAUAAUAAUCGGGUAUAAGGCAGACACCGAAGGCGCGGGAUAGCAAUUAUAAAAGUAUCGGUAGGGGAGCAUUCCAUGUCCGUCGAAUGUUCGGGGUGACCCAUGCUGGAGGUCAUGGAAAAGCAAAUGUAGGUAUAAGUAACGAUAAGGAGGGUGAGAUUCCCUCCCGCCGCAAGACCAAGGUUUCCCGGGCAAUGUCAAUCAUCCCGGGGUAAGUCGGGUCCUAAGUCUCAGCCGAACGGCGAUGGCGAUGGCUGACACGGUUAAUAUUCCGUGACUUCUUUAUUGGGCGACGUGGUGACGGAGCAGUGAAACCACCGCGGGCCGACGGAAUGGCCCGUUGACAGGCGUAGGAGCAGAUCGCGGCAGGCAAAUCCACCGCGAGAUCCGACCCUUAUAGUACCCGUUCCCCCUCGGGGGCGUGGGAUAGCGUGGGUAACCAUACUUCCAAGAAAAACCGCUAAGCUUAACCAAUAAGGAACCCGUACCGUAAACGGACACACGUGGUCGUGUUGAAUAUACUGAGGCGUUGAGAGAUUCAUGGUUAAGGAACUAGGCAAAUUGACCCCGUAACUUCGGGAUAAGGGGUCCUCAUGGCGACAUGAGGCGCAGAGAAUAGGUCCAGGCAACUGUUUAACAAAAACACAGGGCUGUGCUAACUCGAGAGAUGACGUAUACAGCCUGACACCUGCCCGGUGCCGGAAGGUUAAGAGGAGAGCUCAGAGGCGACUCGAAGGCUUGAAUUGAAGCCCCGGUAAACGGCGGCCGUAACUAUAACGGUCCUAAGGUAGCGAAAUUCCUUGUCGGGUAAGUUCCGACCUGCACGAAUGGUGUAAUGAUCCGGACACUGUCUCAACCAUGAGCUCAGUGAAAUUGUAGUAUCGGUGAAGAUGCCGAUUACCCGCGAUGGGACGAAAAGACCCCGUGAACCUUUACUGCAGCUUAGCACUGACCUUGGUCAUCCGAUGUGUAGGAUAGGCCGGAGGCUAUGAAGCUUGUACGCCAGUAUGAGUGGAGCCAUCCUUGAAAUACGGCCCUUCGGCUGUCUGAGGUCUAACGCGUGUUUAUCGCGGACACUGCUUGGCGGGCAGUUUGACUGGGGUGGUCGCCUCCAAAAGCGUAACGGAGGCUUCCAAAGGUGCCCUCAGGCCGAUUGGUAACCGGCCUUCAGAGUGCAAUGGCAUAAGGGCGCUUGACUGGGAGGCAGACAUGCCGAGCAGGCAGGAAACUGGGGCAUAGUGAUCCGGCGGGUCCGCAUGGAAGGUCCGUCGCUCAAAGGAUAAAAGGUACUCCGGGGAUAACAGGCUGAUCCCCCCCAAGAGCUCAUAUCGACGGGGUGGUUUGGCACCUCGAUGUCGGCUCGUCACAUCCUGGGGCUGGAGAAGGUCCCAAGGGUUGGGCUGUUCGCCCAUUAAAGUGGCACGCGAGCUGGGUUCAGAACGUCGUGAGACAGUUCGGUCUCUAUCUAUCGUGGGCGCUGGAGUCUUGCGUGGUGCCGCCACUAGUACGAGAGGACCGUGGUGGACAGACCUCCGGUUUGCCGGUUGUGCCGCCAGGCGCACCGCCGGGUAUCCGCGUCUGGAACGGAUAAGCGCUGAAAGCAUCUAAGUGCGAAGCCGGCCUCAAGAUUAGGACUCCUUCGAGGGUCGUCGCAGACUACGACGUUGAUAGGGCGCAGGUGUAAAGACGGCGACGUCAAAGCCGAGCGCUACUAAUUGCCCGAAAUCUUUCGUCA